rnacentral:rRNA from 1 species
UACAGAGGUCUCAAGCGUUGUUCGGAUUCAUUGGGCGUAAAGGGCGCGUAGGCGGCUCGUGAAGUCAGUGGUGAAAGCCCAGGGCUCAACUCUGGGUCGGCCACUGAUACUCGCGAGCUCGAGUUUGGUAGAGGCAGAUGGAAUUCCGGGUGUAGCGGUGGAAUGCGCAGAUAUCAGGAAGAACACCGAUGGCGAAGGCAGUUCUCUGGGCCGUAACUGACGCUGAGGAGCGAAAGCGUGGGGAGCGAACAGG